UACAGAGGUCCCGAGCGUUGUUCGGAUUCACUGGGCGUAAAGGGUGCGUAGGUGGUUAGGUAAGUCGGAUGUGAAAUCCCCGGGCUCAACCUGGGAACUGCAUCCGAGACUGCAUUGCUAGAGUAUGGGAGAGGAAAGCGGAAUUUCUGGUGUAGCAGUGAAAUGCGUAGAUAUCAGAAGGAACAUCAGUGGCGAAGGCGGCUUUCUGGACCAAUCCUGACGAUGAGGUGCGAAAGCUUGGGGAGCAAACAGG
rnacentral:rRNA from 1 species